rnacentral:misc_RNA from 1 species
AAGUCGUAACAAGGUUUCCGUAGGUGAACCUGCGGAAGGAUCAUUAAUACGCUUUUGUUUGUAACAAGACAAAACGUUUUAAACCCCAAAAAUGAAAUAGUGGAAACAUAUCUUCCGGAUGCGAAUGUUGGGGAACUGAGUGAAAUCGGUUCUUUGAAAAAGGGACCUCAAGCAAUUGACACUUCAGAGUAGAGCAGUGAGGUGAAACUCGAAAGAGUUUGGUUCUGAAAAACAUUUGUAUCCGGUUAUCAAAUCUGUUCUACCAAAUUAUCAAACAAUAAACCCCAUGUACAACAACUUGAACUAAACAUUUUUUUGUUGUCUGCUUCGCGGCAGAUGUGCAAAGAAAAAACCUGAACUUAAGAACAACUCUUAACAACGGAUAUCUUGGUUCUC